CAACCCCUCAAGCACAGCUUGUGUGUUGGGCCAUCGUCCUUCUGGACGGGCCUGAAAUGCAGUGGCAGCACCGAGUUCUGGUGUCUGAGUGUAUGGGAAUCUCUUAUCGCUCAAAGACCCAAUCGGCGCUGAUGUCAGAUUUUUAUCCA
rnacentral:misc_RNA from 1 species